UACGAAGGGUGCUAGCGUUGUUCGGAAUCACUGGGCGUAAAGCGCGCGUAGGCGGCCUAUCAAGUCAGGGGUGAAAUGCCAAAGCUCAACUUUGGAACUGCCUUUGAAACUGAUGGGCUGGAAGAUGAGAGGGGAUAGCGGAAUUUCUGGUGUAGAGGUGAAAUUCGUAGAUACCAGAAGGAACACCGGUGGCGAAGGCGGCUAUCUGGCUCAUUCUUGACGCUCUGGCGCGAAAGCGUGGGGAUCAAACAGG
rnacentral:rRNA from 1 species